CUAUGUUAUCUAGAAUAAUUGCUGAAAAUUCACCGACCGCAGCUUGAGAGCCUGAGGUGAGGUUGUGACGCUGCUUCUGUCGCUGCCCGACUGGACAAGAGGAUACUGGUCCUAACAGAUCCAGGGCCCACCCUACUUGAGCAUGAUCUCAUCUUCACCUGACUGAUUUCAUCUGCAGUGACCCUAUUUUCAAACAAGGUCGUAAUCUGAGGUACUGGAAGUUAGGACUUCAACCUAUUUUUGGUGGAAGAAACAACUCAGUCAAUAACCUAAGGGCUUGGUGAAUAUUCCUACUAUUUCCCGCAAAGUGAGACUUAAGACACAGCUUCUCAUGUAAGUGGCAAAUAAGCGACCAAUAUCCUAUGAACCAGAAGGAUACUCUUAAGUGCUAAAAAACAAACAAGCAAAAAAAAACUGCUUGCCAUCUUUUAAAAUACUCCAAAGAUCUACAAACUUAACACUGAGAGGAGUUUAAAAACCUACCUCCCUUCCCUUGAGAAGGUGUUUCUGGUUGUUGAGAU